rnacentral:lncRNA from 1 species
GGGACCUUCUCGCACAUCCCUCCUUCUCCCUGGACCUCUCUUCACUCCCCCAGCCCCUGCCCGUGGUCUCCCUGUUUCUCAAACACCUGGUCCCCUUCCCCGUGAAGGUGGCUCCAAGGCUGGCAGCCCCCGUGUCCCUGGCUGGGGAGCAGUGGACCUGCCCCAGAGCUGUGGCUGUGGUGGGCUCCGGGCAGGGCCAGGGGGCACUGUGGCCUGGGAGGGGGCACUGAUGCCUGGCCUCUUGCCAGCCCUUCCCCAACAGCACCAACUUGCUGCCCACGGAGAUCAGCCAGUCCCUGCUGUACCGGGGGCCCGUGGACCCUGCCAACUGGUUUGGGGUGCGGAAAGGGUUCCCCAACCUGGGCUACAUCCAGAACCACCUGCAAGUGCUGCUGCUGCUGGUAUUCGAGGCCAUCGUGUACCGGCGCCAGGAGCACUACCGCCGG